rnacentral:rRNA from 1 species
GGCCCACCAAGGCUAACGGCUAGCUGGUCUGAGAGGAUGGUCAGCCACACUGGGACUGAGACACUGCCCAGACUCCUACGGGAGGCUGCAGUCGAGGAUCAUUGUCAAUGCGCGAAAGCGUGAACAUGCGACGCUGCGUGGAGGAUGAAGGCCUUCGGGUCGUAAACUCCUGUCAUUCGGGAAAAAUUGCGGUUGGGUGAAUAGCCUGGCCGUUUGAUGGUACCGAAAGAGGAAGCCACGGCUAACUCUGUGCCAGCAGCCGCGGUAAUACAGAGGUGGCGAGCGUUGUUCGGAUUUACUGGGCGUAAAGGGUGCGUAGGUGGCAUCGUGUGUCGGAUGUGAAAGCCCACGGCUCAACCGUGGAACUGCAUUCGAAACUGCGGAGCUAGAGUACAGGAGGGGAGAGCGGAACUCUUGGUGUAGCGGUGAAAUGCGUUGAUAUCAAGAAGAACACCGGUGGCGAAGGCGGCUCUCUGGAAUGUUACUGACACUGAGGCACGAAAGCUGGGGGAGCAAACAGGAUUAGAUACCCUGGUAGUCCCAGCCGUAAACGGUGUGCACUUGGUGUGGGCGGUAUUGACCCCGCCCGUGCCGGAGCUAACGCGUUAAGUGCACCGCCUGGGGAGUACGGCCGCAAGGUUAAAACUCAAAGAAAUUGACGGGGGCCCGCACAAGCGGAGGAGCAUGUGGCUUAAUUCGAUGCGACGCGAAGAACCUUACCAGGGCUUGACAUGCAGCUGCAAGCCCCACGAAAGGGGGGAAUCCUUCGAGGGUGCUGCACAGGUGCUGCAUGGCUGACGUCAGUUCGUGCCGUGAGGUGUUGGGUUAAGUCCCGCAACGAACGCAACCCCUGUGUUUAGUUGCCACCGCAGGUGAUGAGCCUGCCAGCACUCUAGACAGACUGCCCGUACAAGCGGGAGGAAGGGGGACGACGUCAAGUCAGUAUGGCCCUUACGCCCUGGGCUGCACACGUGCUACAAUGGUCGGUACAGAGGGAGGCAAUACCGCGAGGUGGAGCAAAUCCCCAACACCGGCCUCAGUUCGGAUUGGAGUCUGCAACUCGACUCCAUGAAGUUGGAUUCGCUAGUAACGGCGUAUCAGCUACGACGCCGUGAAUACGUUCCCGGGCCUUGUACACACCGCCCGUCACAUCAUGAAAGCCGUCUGCACCCGAAGUCGCUGAGCUAACCCGAAAGGGAGGCAGGUGCCGAAGGUGUGGGUGGUGAU